ACGGGGUCAGCAGGCGCGAACACUUUACAAUGCGGGAAACCGCGAUAAGGGAACCCCGAGUGCCAGCAUCAAAUGUUGGCUGUCCAGAUGAUUAAAAAUCAUUUGUUAGCAAGGGCCGGGCAAGACCGGUGCCAGCCGCCGCGGUAACACCGGCGGCCCGAGUGGUAGCCGUUUUUAUUGGGUCUAAAGGGUCCGUAGCCGGCCUGAUAAGUCCUUUGGGAAAUCUGGCAGCUUAACUGUCAGGCUUCUAAGGGAUACUGUCAGGCUUGGGACCGGAAGAGGUAAGGGGUACUCCAGGGGUAGGAGUGAAAUCUUGUAAUCCCUGGGGGACCAUCUGUGGCGAAGGCGCCUUACCAGAACGGGUCCGACGGUGAGGGACGAAAGCUAGGGGAGCAAACCGGAUUAGAUACCCGGGUAGUCCUAGCUGUAAACGAUGCUCGCUAGGUGUCAGACACGGUGCGACCGUGUUUGGUGCCGCAGGGAAGCCGUUAAGCGAGCCACCUGGAAGUACGUCGCAAGGC
rnacentral:rRNA from 1 species